rnacentral:rRNA from 1 species
CCUACGGGAGGCAGCAGUAAGGAAUAUUGGGCAAUGGAGGCAACUCUGACCCAGCCAUGCCGCGUGAAGGAUGACUGCCCUACGGGUUGUAAACUUCUUUUGUAUGGGAAUAAACCCGGUUACGUGUAACCGGUUGAAUGUACCAUAAGAAUAAGCAUCGGCUAACUCCGUGCCAGCAGCCGCGGUAAGACGGAGGAUGCAAGCGUUAUCCGGAUUUAUUGGGUUUAAAGGGAGCGUAGGCGGGAUAAUAAGUCAGUGGUGAAAUCUUGGGGCUCAACCCCGAAACUGCCAUUGAUACUGUUAACCUAGAGUACAUUUGAUGUGGGCGGAAUGUGUCAUGUAGCGGUGAAAUGCUUAGAUAUGACACAGAACACCGAUUGCGUAGGCAGCUCACAAAACUGUAACUGACGCUGAGGCUCGAAAGCGUGGGGAUCAAACAGGAUUAGAUACCCUGGUAGUCCACGCCGUAAACUAUGAUCACUCGAUGUUGGCGAUACACUGUCAGCGUCUGAGCGAAAGCAUUAAGUGAUCCACCUGGGGAGUACGGUCGCGAAGACUGAAACUCAAAUGAAUUGACGG